UCAGUGCGCAUGCCUGUAAAAACAACACUGCAUGGUAAUGUGGAAUGUGGUACGAGUAGUACGAGUAGUAUUUUUGAUUAACACACGCUUUUAUUGGGGUUAAGUAUUUACUCUACUCAUAGUUUGGCUUCAGUUUAGCUACACUGAUCAUUUACGUAAACUUCGUUCAUUUUAACGGCGCGUUUGGCCCCCCGUGUUGCAUCUAAUUUCAAAAUCCGAGCAAUUUUGUCAAUGAUACAAUUAUUUUUCUUACCGUUACCGAGUAUGGAAAGAAUGUUUUUGUUCACAAUUGUACCCGAUUAUAAGAAUGUAGUUAGACACCGUUAGAAAUAGUCGAGAAUGUUCUUCUGUUGUUGUUUUUUCUAAACAAAAUUUUCGGUGUGGGCUUGUAAAAUGUACCUGCUCUGCCGUCGCAUGUCAUGUAUUGUGUCGCUAGUCAGAUAGUGUGUUAAAAAAAACAACAACACUGUAAUUCUGUUGAAUCACCCCCCCCCCCCCCCCAUCAAAACUAAAUUAAUUAAUGCCUACUAUAAAAUAAUGAUGUAAUGGUCAAAGUCCAACCAAAGUCAUGAGUGGUUGUGGGCGAGUGGCAAGAAAGAGGAAGAAAAAAGGUGGUGGCGUGGUCCAGUCAGUUUCCUUGAGCCACCAGACCGAGUAUGUGGAGCUGCUCAGAUUUCUUCACCGCCGAGGAUUCAUGUCAAUGCUGCUGCAACCCGCGCUCUUCUCUGACACAGGCCGAGGUCUGCAGGCUGUGAGGAGCAUAAAGCCCAACCAACUGUUGAUUUCUCUGCCCGAGUCUUGUCUGCUGACAACUUCCAUCGUGCUGGACAGCUACCUUGGGCACUACAUCAAGAGCUGGAAGCCGCCGCCCUCGCCUCUGUUGGCUCUGUGCGUUUUCCUGAUGUGUGAGCGGCACAGAGGAGCGGACGCCGAGUGGUCGCCGUACAUACAUGUCCUUCCCGCCUCCUACACGUGUCCCGUCUAUUUCGCCAACGACGCCGUGGCGCUCCUGCCUGUCGGACUGCGCCGACAAGCUUUGGAGCAGAAGGACGUCGUACGGGAAAUGCACUCGUCCAAUUUGGAUUUUUUUAGGUCUUUGCAGCCGAUCCUCAGUCAGCCUGUGGAGAACGUUCUGACAUUUGAAGCUCUGAGGUGGGCAUGGUGCAGCGUCAACACUCGGUCGGUCUACAUGCGUCAGCCGUCACACCAGUUUUUAUGUGGCCAGGAUGACUAUGCGCUGGCUCCCUUUUUGGAUUUGCUGAACCACCGGCCUGAUGUGCAGGUCAAAGCGGGUUUCAACCGCGAGAGAAAAACGUACGAGAUCAGGAGCGUAUGUGGCACGCGCCGAUUCCAGCAGGCCUUCAUCAACUAUGGUUCCCAUGACAACCAGCGCCUGCUGCUGGAGUAUGGCUUUGUUGCCCCCGACAACCCGCACAGCGUAGUCUAUGUGGACACAGAAAUGCUGUGCGAAGUAAUGGAAGGAGACCCAACAAGUCUGGAGCAGAAGAUGAAGUUCCUCACAGACAACAACUUCCUCAAGUUCGCCUUCUUUUCUCUCAAAUCUCUACAGCACGUCCUCUUUUUCCUCCAAAUGACGACGAUAAUUAGUGUGGGUGCUAAUUGUUCGUCUUCACAUAGUUCUUGUGUCCUCCUCAUCCAUCGUAGUGAUUUAAGUGUGAGCCGCGAAGGUCCCAGCUGGAGCCUAAUGACUGUCCUCAGACUGAUGUCGCUGCCUCAAAAUCAAAAGUUUGAAUCUGUUUUGUUCCCUCAGUCAGCAGUGGAAGGCGGUGAUGCGCGGCCAAGCAGUAGAUGAGGAGGUCGAGCGCCGAAGCGUCCGGGCUGCCGAGGAGUUGUGUCGGACACUCCUACGAGACACGCUUACCGCUCUGGAGAAGAUCUCCAGUCUUCUCCAACAGGAGGCACCCUUGCUCCUGGAGCAGCUGCGGCUGGUCCAGUCACUGCGGCUGGAGGAGAAACACAUCCUGGAAAGAUGCCUUGUGUGAUUGAGAAGUGAGCCAAGCAGACACGGUUGGGUGUCCUCCAGGCUGACGGUGACGGGUUCCACUCUAAAACAUACCUUCACGCAAGACGCUUGGGCUUUAUUGAACAUGUUUUUUGUACAGCAUGGUGGACAGUGUGUGGCCCGCAGAGACCACGUUGCUACGUGAUUAGAGAGAAAAUGCUGUUGCUCCCGCUUCCAUUGGCCCCGUCACUUGGUCGACAGUCCCGCCACCUAACUCAAACCGUCGUUACAUUUCAACCACAGCCUUUUUCUUGUUCUGAAGUUGCACGUCCUCCAUGGCGGCCGCCGCUUCCUGUAGAGGAACUGCCUCCUCGGGCUGAGGUCUAGAGGGACCAUGCAUGGACACAGCAAUUAGCUCCCGUCAGGUCAUCGUCUCAGACAUGUCCAUGAGACUUGAUCGUUCAAAGACAUCUUCACGCUGCGGCACUCGCGAUUAUUUCAGGAUGCCGAAUAUCAACAUAUGACAAAAUUACCGUAAUUUUCGGACUAUAAGCCACUAUAGGUUUUUCAUAGUUUGGGUGGGGGGGGCGACUUAUAAUGAGGAGAAACUUAUAUGUGACUUUUUUCAAAAAUUUUCAAAACAAAAAAAAGUUCAAUUGCGAUGUAGCAAGGGAUUACUGUAAUUUGAAUUUCAAGUGGCCUCAGCAGCGCGGCGGUUGUUUACAAAAAGGACAAAGAUUGAUCACGGGAUGACGAAGAUGACGAAGGGCCCCACGUACUACCGGCAUCAUUAGCGGCUUUGUUUCUAAGUGACACGGAGGACGAAGAGUUUGAAGAAUUUAAGGAUUUGGAGUGACACAGAAGGUUUGAAAAACUAUUAUGGCUUUUACGCACGCCCAGUCCUACUCUACGGAGCUCUCUUCCACUUCCGUGGCUGGAAGUCCACGCCGCCACACGCCUGGAAGUUUGUUUUGUUAAAUAAAGAGCCGUUUACCAAA